rnacentral:tRNA from 1 species
CUCUCCGUAGCUCAGCUGGCAGAGCAGCUGACUCUUAAUCAGCGGGUCGAAGGUUCGAAUCCUUCCGGGGAGA